AGCUUUGCGCAAUGGAGAUAUUUUAGCCAGUGAGGUUUAUCUGAGACAUGAUUAUUGCUAAUAGAAAACUUUUCACAAUAGCCUGCCACGACGACUUGAAAUAUAGUCGGCAUUGACUAUUUUUGACAGUCUCUAUGGAGA
ensembl:snRNA U4 U4 spliceosomal RNA